GUCGAGAUAGCUCAGUUGGUAGAGCAUUCGCCUGAAGAGCGAAGGGUCGCCGGUUCGAGCCCGGCUCUCGACACAA
rnacentral:tRNA from 2 species